CCCAUGUUAGAGUGGGUUCCCUCUGGGUGCUUCAGCUUCCUCCCACUUCCAAAGACAUGCAGGUUAGGGGAAUUGUUGACUCUAAAUUCAUGGUAGGGGUGAAUGAGAGUCUGAAUGUGAAUAUUUGUGCGU